UCUAAUGGGCCUCAGAUGACUGUUUGCUUAAAUUUGGGUCUCAAAGAAUCUUUUUUUAAUUCUGCCUGUACUCUCCACCCCUCUUCUUCUAUUGCUCAGGUUGAAGCAGAAUUUGCCCGUCUUACAUCUGUUGACCUGAAAGGGUUCCUUUUUGCUGUGCUUGACCAUUAUGGAGAGGUUCGUGGAGCUGUACAAAAUCAAGAGCGGCAUAGAAAGGCUAACUAGGCUCAUAAGAUGCUUCGGAGAUGAUAGCCCUACACAAAGGAAGAGGACAGAGGACCUCAUUUUCUAAAGGAAGAUCCCUCACACACUUUCAAGACUGUGAAGCCGACAGGUAUUGAAGACACGUUUUCUAAGAGGAUGAAAGUUGGCAU